GAGGGGGGCCAUUGCUCAUGCCUGUGCACAUUCAAAUGCAGAAAUUAAUAAAAAUACAUUUCCUUUUCAAACACUACCGAUUUCAGGAAAUAAAGUAUAUGUGCUGGCUUCGGUUAUUGAUGGGAUACUCAAACUGCAGCUGCAGUUGAUUAGUUUUACAUGUUGCAAGUGGCUAAAAGCAUCUGUUAUGAUAUUGAGCAUAAAAGCAGGGAUAAGUAUCAAGUACAGGACUGGGUGUGGACUGUGGAGUGACCAUAAAUCAACAAGUCAGCACUACAAAAUUAUAAGAGACACUGUCCAGUAAACUAUGACUGUUUCCUUUGCUGCUCAUAUAGACAACAAGAGAACAUACCUCUUCCCCUGCCUCUUCUGCCA
rnacentral:misc_RNA from 1 species